rnacentral:rRNA from 1 species
AGAGUUUGAUCAUGGCUCAGAACGAACGCUGGCGGCGCGCCUAAUACAUGCAAGUCGAGCGAGAAGACGUAGCAAUACGUUUGUAAAGCGGCGAACGGGUGAGGAAUACAUGGGUAACCUACCCUCGAGUGGGGAAUAACUAGCCGAAAGGUUAGCUAAUACCGCGUACGCUCCUUGGACUUCGGUUCAGGGAGGAAAGCGAUACCGUGGGUAUCGCGCUCUUGGAUGGGCUCAUGUCCUAUCAGCUUGUUGGUGAGGUAACGGCUCACCAAGGCUUCGACGGGUAGCUGGUCUGAGAGGACGAUCAGCCACACUGGCACUGCGACACGGGCCAGACUCCUACGGGAGGCAGCAGUAAGGAAUAUUGCGCAAUGGGCGAAAGCCUGACGCAGCGACGCCGCGUGGGGGAUGAAGGUCUUCGGAUUGUAAACCCCUUUCGGGAGGGAAGAUGGAGCGAGCAAUCGUUCGGACGGUACCUCCAGAAGCAGCCACGGCUAACUUCGUGCCAGCAGCCGCGGUAAUACGAAGGUGGCAAGCGUUGUUCGGAUUUACUGGGCGUACAGGGAGCGUAGGCGGUUCGGUAAGCCCUCUGUGAAAUCUCCAGGCUUAACCUGGAACAGUCGGAGGGGACUGCCGUGCUAGAGGACGGGAGAGGAGCGCGGAAUUCCCGGUGUAGCGGUGAAAUGCGUAGAGAUCGGGAGGAAGGCCGGUGGCGAAGGCGGCGCUCUGGAACGUUUCUGACGCUGAGGCUCGAAAGCGUGGGGAGCAAACAGGAUUAGAUACCCUGGUAGUCCACGCCUUAAACUAUGAAUACUAAGUGUCGGCGGGUCACCGCCCGGUGCCGCAGCUAACGCAUUAAGUAUUCCGCCUGGGAAGUACGGCCGCAAGUUGAAACUCAAGGAAUUGACGGGGCCCGCACAGCGGUGGAGCAUGUGGUUUAAUUCGACGCAACGCGAG